GCUGACAUCCGGUCGCCGCGUCUGAUCAGCCGCCCGAAGCGAGACACGCUUCACCCGCCAACUGCGCACGCUGCGGAGUACACGAGAACGAAGUCAUGGGCCAACUGAUGAACUGUUGCGGUUUCCAGUGCUGCAGCCGUACCCGAGAAAGGCUGCGUGGUCGACUACCGUGGCUCUUCGGACCCGCGCAGCGACUGGAUCAGGCGCCAGAGCAGCAGCGGAGCCCUGAGCAGCAGCCCGAACAGCAACCCGAAGCGCCGCAACAUGGGCUGGAGAAAGACGCGGAAAAACCGGGACUGCCCUCCGGGACUGCCCUCCAGAGUCCCUCAGAUUCCGAGGCAGCCGUUACGUCGUCCCUAGGCGAAACUCCGACGGUCGUCUCUCCGGCGACAACGUCUUCUGAGAGCCGCGAAGGCCCUCCCGCGCAGGUGGCAAGCAGCUCGAGUGGCCUGAGCUCUACCACUCCUAAGAGCGGCGCCCCUUUGACCGCGAUACAGCUGCGGGAACCGAGGAAACCAUGGCCACCUUGACCUGUACGUCAGACUCCCCCUUGUUCGGCUGGGGCCGCAACGGCGUCGAUCCCUUUUUAUCGUUCGGCAUGUCCGACAUCGUUUAAUAUCGCGCUAUCCAUAACGUGGUUUUUAACGUGGUUUU